rnacentral:rRNA from 1 species
UUAAGCGACUAAGCGUACACGGUGGAUGCCCUGGCAGUCAGAGGCGAUGAAGGACGUGCUAAUCUGCGAUAAGCGUCGGUAAGGUGAUAUGAACCGUUAUAACCGGCGAUUUCCGAAUGGGGAAACCCAGUGUGUUUCGACACACUAUCAUUAACUGAAUCCAUAGGUUAAUGAGGCGAACCGGGGGAACUGAAACAUCUAAGUACCCCGAGGAAAAGAAAUCAACCGAGAUUCCCCCAGUAGCGGCGAGCGAACGGGGAGCAGCCCAGAGCCUGAAUCAGUGUGUGUGUUAGUGGGAAGCGUCUGGAAAGGCGCGCGAUACAGGGUGACAGCCCCGUACACAAAAAUGCACAUAUUGUGAGCUCGAUGAGUAGGGCGGGACACGUGGUAUCCUGUCUGAAUAUGGGGGGACCAUCCUCCAAGGCUAAAUACUCCUGACUGACCGAUAGUGAACCAGUACCGUGAGGGAAAGGCGAAAAGAACCCCGGCGAGGGGAGUGAAAAAGAACCUGAAACCGUGUACGUACAAGCAGUGGGAGCCUCUUUUAUGGGGUGACUGCGUACCUUUUGUAUAAUGGGUCAGCGACUUAUAUUCUGUAGCAAGGUUAACCGAAUAGGGGAGCCGAAGGGAAACCGAGUCUUAACUGGGCGUUAAGUUGCAGGGUAUAGACCCGAAACCCGGUGAUCUAGCCAUGGGCAGGUUGAAGGUUGGGUAACACUAACUGGAGGACCGAACCGACUAAUGUUGAAAAAUUAGCGGAUGACUUGUGGCUGGGGGUGAAAGGCCAAUCAAACCGGGAGAUAGCUGGUUCUCCCCGAAAGCUAUUUAGGUAGCGCCUCGUGAAUUCAUCUCCGGGGGUAGAGCACUGUUUCGGCAAGGGGGUCAUCCCGACUUACCAACCCGAUGCAAACUGCGAAUACCGGAGAAUGUUAUCACGGGAGACACACGGCGGGUGCUAACGUCCGUCGUGAAGAGGGAAACAACCCAGACCGCCAGCUAAGGUCCCAAAGUCAUGGUUAAGUGGGAAACGAUGUGGGAAGGCCCAGACAGCCAGGAUGUUGGCUUAGAAGCAGCCAUCAUUUAAAGAAAGCGUAAUAGCUCACUGGUCGAGUCGGCCUGCGCGGAAGAUGUAACGGGGCUAAACCAUGCACCGAAGCUGCGGCAGCGACACUAUGUGUUGUUGGGUAGGGGAGCGUUCUGUAAGCCUGUGAAGGUGUGCUGUGAGGCAUGCUGGAGGUAUCAGAAGUGCGAAUGCUGACAUAAGUAACGAUAAAGCGGGUGAAAAGCCCGCUCGCCGGAAGACCAAGGGUUCCUGUCCAACGUUAAUCGGGGCAGGGUGAGUCGACCCCUAAGGCGAGGCCGAAAGGCGUAGUCGAUGGGAAACAGGUUAAUAUUCCUGUACUUGGUGUUACUGCGAAGGGGGGACGGAGAAGGCUAUGUUGGCCGGGCGACGGUUGUCCCGGUUUAAGCGUGUAGGCUGGUUUUCCAGGCAAAUCCGGAAAAUCAAGGCUGAGGCGUGAUGACGAGGCACUACGGUGCUGAAGCAACAAAUGCCCUGCUUCCAGGAAAAGCCUCUAAGCAUCAGGUAACAUCAAAUCGUACCCCAAACCGACACAGGUGGUCAGGUAGAGAAUACCAAGGCGCUUGAGAGAACUCGGGUGAAGGAACUAGGCAAAAUGGUGCCGUAACUUCGGGAGAAGGCACGCUGAUAUGUAGGUGAAGCGACUUGCUCGUGGAGCUGAAAUCAGUCGAAGAUACCAGCUGGCUGCAACUGUUUAUUAAAAACACAGCACUGUGCAAACACGAAAGUGGACGUAUACGGUGUGACGCCUGCCCGGUGCCGGAAGGUUAAUUGAUGGGGUUAGCGCAAGCGAAGCUCUUGAUCGAAGCCCCGGUAAACGGCGGCCGUAACUAUAACGGUCCUAAGGUAGCGAAAUUCCUUGUCGGGUAAGUUCCGACCUGCACGAAUGGCGUAAUGAUGGCCAGGCUGUCUCCACCCGAGACUCAGUGAAAUUGAACUCGCUGUGAAGAUGCAGUGUACCCGCGGCAAGACGGAAAGACCCCGUGAACCUUUACUAUAGCUUGACACUGAACAUUGAGCCUUGAUGUGUAGGAUAGGUGGGAGGCUUUGAAGUGUGGACGCCAGUCUGCAUGGAGCCGACCUUGAAAUACCACCCUUUAAUGUUUGAUGUUCUAACGUUGACCCGUGAUCCGGGUUGCGGACAGUGUCUGGUGGGUAGUUUGACUGGGGCGGUCUCCUCCUAAAGAGUAACGGAGGAGCACGAAGGUUGGCUAAUCCUGGUCGGACAUCAGGAGGUUAGUGCAAUGGCAUAAGCCAGCUUGACUGCGAGCGUGACGGCGCGAGCAGGUGCGAAAGCAGGUCAUAGUGAUCCGGUGGUUCUGAAUGGAAGGGCCAUCGCUCAACGGAUAAAAGGUACUCCGGGGAUAACAGGCUGAUACCGCCCAAGAGUUCAUAUCGACGGCGGUGUUUGGCACCUCGAUGUCGGCUCAUCACAUCCUGGGGCUGAAGUAGGUCCCAAGGGUAUGGCUGUUCGCCAUUUAAAGUGGUACGCGAGCUGGGUUUAGAACGUCGUGAGACAGUUCGGUCCCUAUCUGCCGUGGGCGCUGGAGAACUGAGGGGGGCUGCUCCUAGUACGAGAGGACCGGAGUGGACGCAUCACUGGUGUUCGGGUUGUCAUGCCAAUGGCACUGCCCGGUAGCUAAAUGCGGAAGAGAUAAGUGCUGAAAGCAUCUAAGCACGAAACUUGCCCCGAGAUGAGUUCUCCCUGACCCUUUAAGGGUCCUGAAGGAACGUUGAAGACGACGACGUUGAUAGGCCGGGUGUGUAAGCGCAGCGAUGCGUUGAGCUAACCGGUACUAAUGAACCGUGAGGCUUAACCUU